UAUUGCCUGUGUCUAAGCCAGUUCUUCUUUCCCCAGUAGUUAAGAAUAAUUUUUUUUCUAAAAAACUCUUCUUCCCCUGCGAAAAUCUCUUCUUUCCACGGCCUUUUUGGCACUCGGGUCCAGUGGAGCGGGCAAUAAGCAGCGCUGGGGCUACUCCUUCCCCUUAGCACUAUCUUUCCUCAUGUUUUUGAUGCACACUUCUUGCUUCUUCCUCAGAUCCGGCGAAGUGGAGCCUUGCUUCUUACUCAGAUCCGGCGAAGUGGAGCACUGUCGCCCACGUCCGACUAAGGCGCUCUGCUCCGCCAGCGCCCAUCCACUGGCGAGCUCAAUCUAGAAUUUGUAUUGAUUUUGUUUCAA
rnacentral:lncRNA from 1 species